rnacentral:rRNA from 1 species
AAUACCGCAUACGUCCUACGGGAGAAAGCAGGGGACCUUCGGGCCUUGCGCUAUCAGAUGAGCCUAGGUCGGAUUAGCUAGUUGGUGAGGUAAUGGCUCACCAAGGCUACGAUCCGUAACUGGUCUGAGAGGAUGAUCAGUCACACUGGAACUGAGACACGGUCCAGCCUCCUACGGGAGGCAGCAGUGGGGAAUAUUGGACAAUGGGCGAAAGCCUGAUCCAAAAGGGCCGCGUGUGUGAAGAAGGUCUUCGGA